rnacentral:rRNA from 1 species
UUAUAUCAGUAAGAGCCCUGAGAGAUGAUCAGGUAGAUAGGUUAGAAGUGGAAGUGUGGCGACACAUGUAGCGGACUAAUACUAAUAGCUCGAGGACUUAUCCAA